GGAGGAUUGAAUAACAUACCUUAACCAGGCUGGAGAUUUCAUAGUGUGUCCUCUCCCACCUCUAUUCUGCAGAUGGCAGGAGAAAGGUGUCAUCUGGAGGCAGCACGAUGGGAGACGACAUGAAGUUGUCGAUCUUCAUCCCUCUCUGAGGUGCAAGGGAUCAACACCGGCUUCAACUUUAAAGGUCCUGACUGAGAGCACCGCGUUUGUUGCCAGUCUGGGGAACUGAUCUUUCCAAUGACAUACGACGUGACCCUCAAGUCUUGACAGUUGAG
rnacentral:lncRNA from 1 species